rnacentral:rRNA from 1 species
GCAUAUCAAUAAGCGGAGGAAAAGAAACUAACAAGGAUUCCCCUAGUAACGGCGAGUGAAGAGGGAAGAGCUCAAAUUUGAAAUCUGGCGGUCUCAGGCCGUCCGAGUUGUAAUCUAGAGAGGUGUUUUCCGUGCCGGACCGUGUACAAGUCCCUUGGAACAGGGCGUCAUAGAGGGUGAGAAUCCCGUCCAUGACACGGACUACCGGUGCUCUGUGAUACACCUUCAAAGAGUCGAGUUGUUUGGGAAUGCAGCUCAAAAUGGGUGGUAAAUUCCAUCUAAAGCUAAAUACAGGCGAGAGACCGAUAGCGAACAAGUACCGUGAGGGAAAGAUGAAAAGAACUUUGGAAAGAGAGUUAAACAGUACGUGAAAUUGUUGAAAGGGAAACGCUUGAAGUCAGUCGCGUCUGCCAGGACUCAGCCUUGCUUCUGCUUGGUGCAUUUCUUGGUGGAUGGGCCAGCAUCGAUUUUGAUUGCCGGAAAAGGGCAGGAGGAAUGUGGCAGCUUUUGCUGUGUUAUAGCCUUCUGUCGUACACGGUGGUUGGGAUCGAGGACUGCAGCACGCCUUUGGUCGGGGUUCGCCCACGCCACGUGCUUAGGAUGCUGGCGUAAUGGCUUUAAACGACCCGUCUUGAAACACGGACCAAGGAGUCUAACAUGCCUGCG